AACUAAAGGUUCUUAUGCUGCAAACCUCUAAAAUAAAUCAUUUUAUUUUAAAAAAGCAAAUGGAACUUCAGUUUUCUGAAACUUGAAUCUGAAAAGGGUUUAAUCAAGCUUUGGAAAAUUGUCUCACAUUGCCUUUUUCGGGGCAUGCCGAAUCGUAGUGGUGCAAAAUCAAGUCGGUUUGCUGAUUCAGUUUAAAGCUGUCUAAAGCAGUCUAAAUAGGACAAAACUGUCCAAUGUUGUUUGACAUGAUUUGGCUCGAAUUAGUUCUUGCUCCUCCCGUGAGAAAUGAGGAAAAGGCAUCCCGAUGCCUUUCUCCCCUUUUUUCUGCUGAGAACAUUGUUGAAGGAUGGAAGGUGAAAAGAAUUAGAGAAGAAUAGAUUUCUUGCUAGUUUGAGCUCUAAUCCAAUCUAUGAUCACGUACAAUCUAUUUUGCCUCUUCAUUCAUCUCUUUUUUUUUUCUCUCUUUUUCUAGAUUAAAAUAGGAUAAAAAUGAUAAAAUAAGAAAAAUUCUGCAAAAUUUUUUAUUUCGCUGUGAUUAUAUGACAUUGUAGAUCUAAAGAUGUUACGUGAAUUGAAGAAAAAUCAUGUUUCUUCAUUGCUCGUAAAUUUUUUAGAUCAAAAAUAUAUUUUUUGAUAUAAAAAUAAUAAUAAAAAUAAUAUUCAAAAAUUAAAAAAAUUGGAAGCAUAUUUGGUGAUGUGCAUGGUACUUACUGUUUUUUCUUGUUUUAAAUUUAGAAAUUGCUAUGACAACUCAAACCUAAGCCUAAAUUUGAAAAAAUUUAAAAAUAAUAGUAAUUAAGGUAUCCCUAUAAGCUGGAAAAAAAAUAUAGUACCUCUUGUCGACUUCUGCAUCAAUCCAAAUUUAAAAUAAUUUUUAUAACUAAAUAUUUAUUUUUAAAUAAAAAUU
rnacentral:lncRNA from 1 species